rnacentral:rRNA from 1 species
AUUGAACGCUGGCGGCAGGCUUAACACAUGCAAGUCGAACGAUGAAGAUAUAGCUUGCUAUAUCGGAUUAGUGGCGGACGGGUGAGUAACACUUAGGAAUCUACCUUUUAGCGGGGGAUAGCUCGGGGAAACUCGAAUUAAUACCGCAUAAUUUCUACGGAAUAAAGAGGGCUUUUAGCUCUCACUAGAAGAUGAGCCUAAGUAAGAUUAGCUAGUUGGUGGGGUAAAAGCCUACCAAGGCGACGAUCUUUAGCUGGUCUGAGAGGAUGAUCAGCCACACUGGGACUGAGACACGGCCCAGACUCCUACGGGAGGCAGCAGUGGGGAAUAUUGGACAAUGGGGGCAACCCUGAUCCAGCCAUGCCGCGUGUGUGAAGAAGGCCUUUUGGUUGUAAAGCACUUUAAGCAGUGAAGGAGACCUAUUGGUUAAUACCCAAUAGCGAUGACAUUAACUGCAGAAUAAGCACCGGCUAACUCUGUGCCAGCAGCCGCGGUAAUACAGAGGGUGCAAGCGUUAAUCGGAAUUACUGGGCGUAAAGCGAGCGUAGGUGGUUAAAUAAGUCAGAUGUGAAAGCCCUGGGCUCAACCUAGGAACGGCAUCUGAAACUAUUUAACUAGAGUAGGUGAGAGGGAAGUAGAAUUUCAGGUGUAGCGGUGAAAUGCGUAGAGAUCUGAAGGAAUACCGAUGGCGAAGGCAGCUUCCUGGCAUCAUACUGACACUGAGGCUCGAAAGCGUGGGUAGCAAACAGG